rnacentral:rRNA from 1 species
CCGAACCGACUAGUGUUGCAAAAUUAGCGGAUGAGCUGUGGAUAGGGGUGAAAGGCCAAACAAAUCUGGAGAUAGCUGGUUCUCCCCGAAAACUAUUGAGGUAGUGCCUCGUGUGUCGCUCCAGGGGGUAGAGCACUGUUUUGGCUAGGGGGACAUGGAGUCUUACCAAACCAAGGCAAACUCCGAAUACCUGGAAGCGUAAGCACGGGAGACAGAGCACCGGGUGCUAACGUCCGGACUCAAAAGGGAAACAACCCAGACCGCCGGCUAAGGUCCCCAAUAACAGCUAAGUGGAAAACGAAGUGGAAAGGCCGUGACAACCAGGAAGUUGGCUUAGAAGCAGCCAUCCUUCAAAGAAAGCGUAAUAGCUCACUGGUCGAGUCCUUCUGCGCGGAAGAUGUAACGGGGCUAAGCUGUUAACCGAAGCCGCGGAUGCACUGAUUAUUCAGUGCGUGGUAGGGGAGCGUUCUGUAAGUCUGCGAAGGCGGUUCGAGAGGACUGCUGGAGAUAUCAGAAGUGCGAAUGCUGACAUGAGUAACGUUAAAGCAGGUGAAAAGCCUGCUCGCCGUAAGCCCAAGGAUUCCUGCUCUACGUUCAUCGGAGCAGGGUGAGUCGGCUCCUAAGGUCAGGCCGAAAGGCGUAGCCGAUGGGAAUCAGGUUAAUAUUCCUGAACCUGCGUCAGAUGCGAUGGGGGGACGGAGCAUGAAAGAUCAUCCGGGUGUUGGAUGUCCCGGUUGACGAGCGUAGGAGGUCUGCAGGCAAAUCCGCAGACGCAUCUCCAAGGCGAAGUCACGUGCCGCCACGGCGGCGAAGUGAUCGGAAGUGCUUCCAAGAAAAGCCUCUAAGCACCAGUCUGGCGCGGACCGUACCGCAAACCGACACUGGUGGGCGAGCUGAAUAUGCUCAGGCGCUUGAGAGAACUCGGGAGAAGGAACUCGGCAAAUUGACACCGUAACUUCGGAAGAAGGUGUGCCGUAGUACCGUGAGAGGAGAGACACCUUGAGCGGGAAUCGGUCUCAGAGAAUAGGUGGCUGCGACUGUUUAUUAAAAACACAGCACUCUGCAAAGUCGAAAGACGACGUAUAGGGUGUGAUGCCUGCCCGGUGCUGGAAGAUUAAUUGAUGGGGUGAGAGCCCUUGAUCGAAGUCCCAGUAAACGGCGGCCGUAACUAUAACGGUCCUAAGGUAGCGAAAUUCCUUGUCGGGUAAGUUCCGACCUGCACGAAUGGCAUAACGAUGGCCACACUGUCUCCUCCCGAGACUCAGUGAAGUUGAAAUGUUUGUGAUGAUGCAAUCUACCCGCGGCUAGACGGAAAGACCCCAUGAACCUUUACUGCAGCUUUGCAUUGAACUGUGAACCGAUUUGUGUAGGAUAGGUGGGAGGCAGAGAAGAGGCCACGCCAGUGGUCUUGGAGCCGGCCUUGAAAUACCACCCUGAUUUGUUUGCGGUUCUAACCACGGACAGUGAUCCUGUCUUGGGACCGUGCAUGGUAGGCAGUUUGACUGGGGCGGUCUCCUCCUAAAGGGUAACG